AGUUCUCAACCUUGCUGGUUUCAUUGCAGACCAGUCUGGCUUGGAUUGAUGGGAUGUUGCUGGUCUUUUCUUCGAAGCCGGCUCUCCUGAAAUGCAUUAGCAGAGGUCAUCGCUGUUUCGACUUUGAUAUGAUAAUUAUCUAUAUCAUCGAUGAUUCAGCCUUUUCUUUGAAAAGGAUCUCAGCUUCCAACAGUCUCCUCGAGACAAUGAUCAACUUUGACCA
rnacentral:misc_RNA from 1 species